AACAUAAAUAAACAAAUCCAAAGUGAUGGUCGCCGCGUUAAUGUCGUCGUCGCAUUAUUUGUUAUUUCCUACUUUUUAUCAAUUAUCAGAUAGUCAAAAUUGAUUAUCCUUGUUUCGAGUAUAAUUCUUUGUUCAAGCACCGGUCGGCAGCACAAUGUCGGCUUCCUCGAAGGUGACGAUCAACGAUAAUAGUAAACAGAAUAGUUCCCGAACCAUCGGCGGAGAGAACCAUCUCUGCUCAUAUAGCUAAGAAUUUCUGACCAGUGAUCACAAACGGAACAAUACGUUGCUUCGGUAUCGAUCAAUCCUACAGCACCCGUUUUACCAUUGGGAUCUCUACGCAUGCACCAAUCUUUUAAGAAAAUUGCUGAUUCCCUUCUGGCAAGUGUCUGAACUCAUUGCUCUAUAUAAUUGUGCAGCAUUACGAAAAACGAAAAUUUGAGCUAAACCUAUUUCCUCGAAGUGAAAUUUCUUCUGUGCGACUUAAAAUAAUAAAGGCACACCCAACACAUCAAUGGAUCGCAAGGCCUCCGAUGGAUCCCAAAUUUAUCAUAUUUCCGGACAACUCUAAUGAGGAGAGCCACGAUGUUCGUUCCAUUUUGCAUGUUGCCUCGUCUUGUUUCCGAUCGGCAGCUUAUGGUGGUGGCCGCGAUGGGGCCAGGGAAAACCACCAAAGAAAAAGACCAAAAUAACUGGUAAAUGAGAGAGGAAAGUCACGACCACGAUUCCGUUGAAAAUACAGGAAACGCAAGGGGGAACUGACAUGUGGGCGCUAAAGGGAUGCUGAUUUCAUUUAAAACCAAAUAUUCUCCGAUCAGUGGCAAUUGUUUAAUUGAUCGAUCCAACGACAUAUCCAGUUUUUGAAUGCCGUCAAACAUGCGCACCAGUGCCUUACUUAUUUCCCCGUGCUUGCUGCGCUUGACGAUUGAACCUCGGAUUGAACGUACUGCCUCGAAGCUACUGUCCAGGGAUAUUCCGGCCCUUCCGAGAUGCCUGGCCUGGCAUUAAGCAACAUGAAAAAUGAAUAUUUAUCGAAA